GUCCCUUCGGGGACAUCCGGCAAAACUGGAACGAUACAAAUAAAAUUAGCAUGACCCUUGCGCAAGGAUGACAAACGCAAAUUGAGAAAUGAUCCAAAUUUGU